rnacentral:rRNA from 1 species
ACUCCUACCGGGAGGCAGCAGUGGGGAAUAUUGGACAAUGGGCGCAAGCCUGAUCCAGCCAUGCCGCGUGAGUGAUGAAGGCCCUAGGGUUGUAAAGCUCUUUCACCGGUGAAGAUAAUGACGGUAACCGGAGAAGAAGCCCCGGCUAACUUCGUGCCAGCAGCCGCGGUAAUACGAAGGGGGCUAGCGUUGUUCGGAUUUACUGGGCGUAAAGCGCACGUAGGCGGACUAUUAAGUCAGGGGUGAAAUCCCGGGGCUCAACCCCGGAACUGCCUUUGAUACUGGUAGUCUUGAGUUCGAGAGAGGUGAGUGGAAUUCCGAGUGUAGAGGUGAAAUUCGUAGAUAUUCGGAGGAACACCAGUGGCGAAGGCGGCUCACUGGCUCGAUACUGACGCUGAGGUGCGAAAGCGUGGGGAGCAAACAGGAUUAGAUACCCGAGUAGUCCCA